CACCGAAAUUAAGCAUCAUUGGGCGCGGUCAGUACUUGGGUGGGUGACCACCUGGGAACACCGCGUGCCGUU